GAUCAACAGUAAAAAUGACAAAUCUUACCUCUUUGCAAAAGGAAAAGGCACAAAGAAUCAAGAAUGCAUGGUUUUAAGGAGAAUGCAACAGGUUCCAGGGCCUCUUACCUGCGAGAUUCAUCAUCCAGGUUUUGCACAAAUUGUCUAAAUCCCUACACACAGAACAUUUAUUGUACCGACUAUAAGCCUUUGAGGUGCAGGACUAGAAUAUGCUUGGAGCUUCCUGAUCAGAUCGGUCACAAUUUUGGCUUUCGACGACCCCUGCACUGAAGAUGGCAUGCAAUCACGUCCUCCUUUGAAGGUGUCUCAAACUGUGAUGCCAGGCCCAUUGGAAUCGGGG